rnacentral:rRNA from 1 species
UGCUGAAAGCAUCUAAGCACGAAACUUGCCCCGAGAUGAGUUCUCCCUGACUCCUUGAGAGUCCUGAAGGAACGUUGAAGACGACGACGUUGAUAGGCCGGGUGUGUAAGCGCAGCGAUGCGUUGAGCUAACCGGUACUAAUGAACCGUGAGGCUUAACCUUACAACGCCGAAG